rnacentral:rRNA from 1 species
AGUGAACGCUGGCGGUAGGCCUAACACAUGCAAGUCGAACGGCAGCACAGGAGAGCUUGCUCUCUGGGUGGCGAGUGGCGGACGGGUGAGGAAUACAUCGGAAUCUACUCUGUCGUGGGGGAUAACGUAGGGAAACUUACGCUAAUACCGCAUACGACCUACGGGUGAAAGCAGGGGAUCUUCGGACCUUGCGCGAUUGAAUGAGCCGAUGUCGGAUUAGCUAGUUGGCGGGGUAAAGGCCCACCAAGGCGACGAUCCGUAGCUGGUCUGAGAGGAUGAUCAGCCACACUGGAACUGAGACACGGUCCAGACUCCUACGGGAGGCAGCAGUGGGGAAUAUUGGACAAUGGGCGCAAGCCUGAUCCAGCCAUACCGCGUGGGUGAAGAAGGCCUUCGGGUUGUAAAGCCCUUUUGUUGGGAAAGAAAUCCAGCUGGCUAAUACCCGGUUGGGAUGACGGUACCCAAAGAAUAAGCACCGGCUAACUUCGUGCCAGCAGCCGCGGUAAUACGAAGGGUGCAAGCGUUACUCGGAAUUACUGGGCGUAAAGCGUGCGUAGGUGGUCGUUUAAGUCCGUUGUGAAAGCCCUGGGCUCAACCUGGGAACUGCAGUGGAUACUGGGCGACUAGAGUGUGGUAGAGGGUAGCGGAAUUCCUGGUGUAGCAGUGAAAUGCGUAGAGAUCAGGAGGAACAUCCAUGGCGA